GUGGGUUUAGCACAGCGGUAGUUGCGAGAGAUUGCAAAUCUCUAGGUCCCCGGUUCGAUCCCGGGAACUCACU